CACCUUUCCAGGCAACUUUUGCGAGAGCAAAGCUAUGGUUGAGGGAAUUAGAGAAGGAAUUUCUUCCCGAUGAGCUCGUGAUUGUUUUAGUCGGCAAUAAGAUAGAUCUUGCUGCUCAGCGGGAAUUCACCUUUGAGGAGGCGGAGGAGUUUGCAAAGAGUGAAAGCUUAACCUACAUGGAAACGUCGGCAAAAUCCAACCACCAAGUGACCGAGGUGCUUGUGGCCAUAGCUCCCGAGUUAUUGAAAUAGGAACAACAGAAGGAACCAGCCCCUCAGCCUCAGCCCUGGAAGAAGUCACGCGUGGACCUGCGAGAGCCAAGCAAUCAGACUAAGAAGUGUUGCAUGAACUAAAGGAAAUGGCAGACUGACCUAAGGU